rnacentral:tRNA from 1 species
AGAGAGGUGUCCGAGUGGUUGAAGGAGCUAGUCUGGAAAGCUAGUAUAUGGGUAACUAUAUCGAGGGUUCGAAUCCCUUCCUCUCUGCAA